rnacentral:rRNA from 1 species
CCUACGGGAGGCAGCAGUGGGGAAUAUUGCACAAUGGGGGGAACCUUGAUGCAGCAACGCCGCGUGGGUGAAGAAGUACUCCGGUAUGUAAAGCCCUGUCAGCAGGGAAGAAAAUGACGGUACCUGACCAAGAAGCCCCGGCUAACUACGUGCCAGCAGCCGCGGUAAUACGUAGGGGGCAAGCGUUAUCCGGAUUUACUGGGGGUAAAGGGAGCGUAGACGGCAAGGCAAGUCUGGAGUGAAAGCCAGUGGCCCAACCACGGGACUGCCUUGGAAACUGUGUGGCUGGAGUGCAGGAGGGGUAAGCGGAAUUCCUAGUGUAGCGGUGAAAUGCGUAGAGAUUAGGAGGAACACCGGUGGCGAAGGCGGCUUACUGGACUGUAACUGACGUUGAGGCUCGAAGGCGUGGGGAGCAAACAGGAUUAGAUACCCCAGUAGUC